UACGGAGGAUGCGAGCGUUAUCCGGAUUUAUUGGGUUUAAAGGGUGCGUAGGCGGACUGUCAAGUCAGCGGUAAAAUUGAGAGGCUCAACCUCUUCCCGCCGUUGAAACUGGUGGUCUUGAGUGGAUGAGAAGUACGCGGAAUGCGUGGUGUAGCGGUGAAAUGCAUAGAUAUCACGCAGAACUCCGAUUGCGAAGGCAGCGUACCGGGAUCCAACUGACGCUGAGGCACGAAAGCGUGGGGAUCAAACAGG
rnacentral:rRNA from 1 species